ACCUCCAAGUGCUUCAAGGACCUUGUCAAAGGAUGCAAAUGACCAGCUAAAGUCCCGUUGCCUCCCGAAAAAAACACCCUUGGGGAUUAUCUAGGAAUGUUAAGAUUGCUUUCAACACAGCCUAUUAAUGAAAGCAGUCAAGAGUUAUUUGAACAAGUAUACUUUUCUUUAAUAUGUGUUUUCUCACUAGCAGUUUUCCAUCCUUUUCAGAGGAGUUAGUAACUUUGGUUAAAGUACCUAAUUGGUAGCGUUUGGGUGUAGGGUUGGUUUUUGAUAUUGCUUUAGUUACCCUGUGGUGUAUUGGGUCAAAUCCCGAAAAAAUAAAUUUGGACUGAAUACGGUAAAUUUUCGUUCUGCGCUUUGAUUUGUUGCAUGAAGCUAAAAUCUUAAGAUGUGGAGGAGGAGGACUGGAAGGAGAAUUGAUGAGAGAGGAAUUUUACUAUUGCAGUUGGUUAAGAUUCAGAGAAAAUUAGAUGAUGAUUAUCUAAUUUUCAGCCUGACGUUGAAAACUGGCUUUGAGAUUGGAAAAUCGUGCUUGUAUGAAUGUAGAGAUGGAUAUGAGGAUGGAUUCACACCGUCACAAGCGAGGUGAGUUGAAGUUGUACUGCACUGCCUUCCAUCUAGUGCUGGAGAAGAUGCACACUCAGGAAGACAAGAAUGAGAGAUGGAGAGUAAGAUGACACGUUUGCAGAUGUGUCUUAGAUUCUGCUGUGCACAGAUACAGCAUGCUUGCUUAUUCUUGAUUCUUUUUAUCAACUAACUGAUAAAAACUUACUUGUAGCUCAGGGUUGAAAUGAGGUCUGCUUGAUGUUCUCUGAACUUGGUUGUUUCGUUGCAGAUGUUUCAUUGCCAAACUAGGUACCAUCAUCAGUGCUAGAAGGGAGUGGGGUUUUUAAUUGCAUCUUGCACGUAAGCAGAGAGCAAACCCCACUCACUUCUAGCACUGAUGAUGGUACCUAGUUUGGUAAUGGAACAUCUUCAAGAAAACAACCAAGCUCAGAGAGCACCAAAGACCAACUAACUUUAUAAACGAAAAUAGCGUAGGUGGGUCAUAGAAAGAUGUGUAAGACCCUGUCUCAAAAUUGGCCUUCAGAUUUUGGGCUGAAGUGCUUGCAGUUACUGGUUUACAAAAGGGAGCAUCCUAUGCUGUUAUGGUGCAUUGAUGGUGCCACUAAUAUUGAGGUAAAGGUUUAACUUUGCUUCCAGAUUGACAGUCACGGGGCUACCAGGCCCAGAAUGUAGAAUCUCUGUAGAAUAGUAGAUGGCAGGGAAAAAGAAAAAUAUUCUUUAUCUCCAUUUUUGUUGCACAGAUCUAUGAAGCCUGGUUAAACCCUAACGAUGGAAAUAAAUAAACUCCUGGCUUUUAUAAGCUAUGUUAGACUUUUAGACAGGGGAACUGGUAAAUAGCUCUGAGGCUGUGUUCUUUAUACUGUAGUCUCUCAAGGCAAAAAGAUUUCCCAGAAAGAUACACACACAGAUCUGAAAUACAAAACAAUAACAAUAAACUUCAUAAUAAUGAUGAACACGGAUAAUCUAAGCCUUCAACCCACUGUUUGAAGGCUGCAACUCUGUGCCAACUUCCCUUGAAGUAAUUCCGACUGAGGUUUAAAUUUCAAGUCAGGUCAAGCUCCCACUUGGAAGUUGCAUUUUUAAAGAUAGCUUUGAAAAAAGGGAAAAUAAAUGCCGAGCCUUGGUUAACGGUGUGAUUUCAAAGGAAUUGAAAUAUGGAGAAUGUGGUUCAGUUGUUAUUCACAAUUCUAAACAGUGAUUGAAUGUCUUUACUAAGGAUGGAUUUUAGAGGCAUGACUCAGAGCUCUGAAUGCCUGGAGUAGCUGUGGAUAGCGAGGUGGCUGGCAUACAAAUUUAAUAAAUAAAUCAGCCCCCAUGUUAUUCUUUGGCAGCUAAAUCUAUUUAAGCAGCAGCUCAAAAUGGUGACAUAUGGCAUCUCUCUCUCUAUCCAUCCGUCCGUCUAUCUUGUGUAGCCAUAACUGAUGUAGGGGCCAUUUAAAGAGAAAAGCAUAGACAAGCCUCGAUAGAACAGAAAACCCUUUUAUUUGAUAGUACUUGGAAUUUAUCAUAUUUUCUGUCUUGCCAAUCACCUCUCUCUCUGGCUCCCUUGAUCUACAGCAUGGCUGCAACUUGAACAGUCAGCCAAACUAAUACAGGUAAUCCUCGACUUAAUGACCACAACUGACUCCCAAAUUUCUGUUGCUAAGGGAAUCACUGCAGUCGUCAAAUUAGUAACAUGGUUGUGAAGUGAAUCUGGCUUCUCUUGUCAGAAGGUCACAAAAGGGGAUCAGAUGAUGACCCCAUCAUAAAUGAGUCAGUUUGCCAAUUGUUUGGAUUUUGAUCCCCUGACCCCUAGCCUGUUCCAAAAUGAUGAUUCUGGGAGAUUUAGAGUAAAAAAAAAAGAGCAAUUCGAGGGCCUAUUCUAGUUUUCUCCAGCCAAGCUGAGGACGAUGGGGUUGUCUUAUCCAGAAGAGAGGGCACCUGACUGCAGUUGGGUAAUUUAGAAUAAGUCUCCGCAAUCCAGGUGCGUCUUCCAGAGAUGCUGGACCACACUUCCCAUCAUCCAAUUGGCAGAGAGACCAUAAUGUGAGAAAUGUUGCUGGUCCAAUGGGAAAAUUCCAGGUAGGAAAACAGACUGUGCCUUUAAAAUUCUGAGGAUACUGCAGUGGUCCUAAGUGUGAAAAGUGGUCGUAUUUGGUGGUUCUGAACACAAUCUCAAAUCAUUUGCUCAAUAUCUCAAAGGAGGAAAAUGUUAGUAUUUAAAAUGUUUUAAAAUUAAGGGCUGUUUUGCAACUAUAAAAUGCCAGUGGGUUUUCUUGUAAAGGUUUGUUUUGUGGCUAUGGUAAUGUUUAUCUUCUUUUCUUCCACCCCGGGUGAAGGUAUUUUUGGAAUUGACAUGGACAAACUUGAAUAAAUCUGCGAUAAUAUACAAGAAUACAACUGACUCUCUUGAUUAAAUU